rnacentral:rRNA from 1 species
UACGUAGGGUGCGAGCGUUAAUCGGAUUUACUGGGCGUAAAGCGUGCGCAGGCGGCCCGUUAAGACAGGUGUGAAAUCCCUGGGCUCAACCUAGGAAUUGCGCUUGUGACUGGCGGGCUCGAGUGCGGCAGAGGGGGGUGGAAUUCCUGGUGUAGCAGUGAAAUGCGUAGAGAUCAGGAGGAACACCGAUGGCGAAGGCAGCCCCCUGGGCCUGUACUGACGCUCAUGCACGAAAGCGUGGGGAGCAAACAGG